UGGGGAAUAUUGGACAAUGGGCGCAAGCCUGAUCCAGCAAUGCCGCGUGUGUGAAGAAGGCCUUCGGGUUGUAAAGCACUUUUAUCAGGAGCGAAACGCUGUCGGCUAAUACCCGGCGGAACUGACGGUACCUGAGGAAUAAGCACCGGCUAACUUCGUGCCAGCAGCCGCGGUAAUACGAAGGUGCAAGCGUUAAUCGGAAUUACUGGGCGUAAAGCGUGCGUAGGCGGUUUCUUAAGUCUGCUGUGAAAUCCCCGGGCUCAACCUGGGAAUGGCAGUGGAUACUGGGAGGCUAGAGUGUGUCAGAGGGUGGUGGAAUUCCCGGUGUAGCGGUGAAAUGCGUAGAGAUCGGGAGGAACAUCAGUGGCGAAGGCGGCCACCUGGGACAACACUGACGCUGAGGCACGAAAGCGUGGGGAGCAAACAGGAUUAGAUACCCUGGUAGUCCACGCCCUAAACGAUGCGAACUGGAUGUUGGUCUCAACUCGGAGAUCAGUGUCGAAGCUAACGCGUUAAGUUCGCCGCCUGGGGAGUACGGUCGCAAGACUGAAACUCAAAGGAAUUGACGGGGUCAUAGCUGUUUCCUG
rnacentral:rRNA from 1 species